rnacentral:rRNA from 1 species
UACGGAGGGUGCAGGCGUUAAGCGGAAUUACUGGGCGUAAAGGGUGCGCAGGCGGUUUCUUAAGUCAGAUGUGAAAGCCCCGGGCUUAACCUGGGAACUGCGUUUGAAACUGGGAGACUUGAGUGUGGCAGAGGGGGGUGGAAUUCCACGUGUAGCAGUGAAAUGCGUAGAUAUGUGGAGGAACACCAAUUGCGAAGGCAGCUUACUACACAGUUAUUGACACUGAGGCACGAAAGCGUGGGGAUCAAACAGG